rnacentral:rRNA from 1 species
GGGAGGGGGGGCAAGCGUUAUUCGGAAUUAUUGGGCGUAAAGGGCGCGUAGGCUGCUUGGCAAGUCAAAGGGUGAAAUCCCUCGGCCCAACCGAGGAACUGUCUUUGAAACUGCCUGGCUUGAGGCCGGGAGAGGGCAGUGGAAUUCCCAGUGUAGCGGUGAAAUGCGUAGAUAUUGGGAGGAACACCAGUGGCGAAGGCGGCUGCCUGGACCGGUUCUGACGCUGAGGCGCGAAAGCGUGGGGAGCAAACAGGAUUAGAUACCCUGGUAGUCCACGCUGUAAACGAUGGGUACUCGGUGCUGCGGGUAUCGACCCCUGCAGUGCCUUAGCUAACGCGUUAAGUACCCCGCCUGGGGAGUACGGUCGCAAGGCUG